GGAUCGGACGCGGCAACUGGCUGGCCGCACGUGGCUGUAACCCACGGUCUUUGCACAUUGGGGGUUCGAAUCCCUCCCGAUCCA
rnacentral:tRNA from 1 species